AGUGAACGCUGGCGGUAGGCCUAACACAUGCAAGUCGAACGGCAGCACAGUAAGAGCUUGCUCUUACGGGUGGCGAGUGGCGGACGGGUGAGGAAUACAUCGGAAUCUACUUUUUCGUGGGGGAUAACGUAGGGAAACUUACGCUAAUACCGCAUACGACCUACGGGUGAAAGCAGGGGAUCUUCGGACCUUGCGCGAUUGAAUGAGCCGAUGUCGGAUUAGCUAGUUGGCGGGGUAAAGGCCCACCAAGGCGACGAUCCGUAGCUGGUCUGAGAGGAUGAUCAGCCACACUGGAACUGAGACACGGUCCAGACUCCUACGGGAGGCAGCAGUGGGGAAUAUUGGACAAUGGGCGCAAGCCUGAUCCAGCCAUACCGCGUGGGUGAAGAAGGCCAUCGGGUUGUAAAGCCCUUUUGUUGGGAAAGAAAAGCAGCAGGUUAAUACCCCGCUGUUCUGACGGUACCCAAAGAAUAAGCACCGGCUAACUUCGUG
rnacentral:rRNA from 1 species